rnacentral:tRNA from 1 species
AGGGCGGUAGCUCAGUGGCAGAGCACGCCUCUGAUAAGGGCGAGGUCGGCGGUUCAAGUCCGCCCUGCCCUA